GCGGAGGGAGACGAGGUCGCGGGCGGGCGCUUCGGCGCGCCGUUCGAGGAAAGUCCGGGCUCCACAGGGCACGGUGCCGGGUAACCCCCGGGCGUCGCGAGGCGAUGGAAAGUGCAACAGAAAGCAAACCGCCGAUGGCGGCUUCGGCCGCACAGGUAAGGGUGAAAGGGUGGGGUAAGAGCCCACCGCGUUUCCUGGUAACAGGGACGGCAAGGCAAACCCCGCCGGGAGCAAGGCCAAACAGGAACGAGUGGCGGCCCGCCGCAUUCGAGUUCCGGGUAGGCCGCACGAGGCCUCGGGAGACCGACGGUCCCAGAUAGAUGACUUCGACCGAUGAGUUCGCUCGUCGGUACAGAACCCGGCUUAUCUCCCUCCGCGAUU
rnacentral:RNase_P_RNA from 1 species